AUGUAUUUUUUUUCUUUUACAUUUCAUACUUUUGGGGCUGUUUUAGAAAUUGACAAAAAUCUACACUUAUUUUAUUAUUUUUGGAGUUAUUGUAAGUCCAAUUUUAGUAUUUUAUAAGUAAAGUAACAAGUUAACAGAUGGUAAAUUGUUAUACUAUAAUAAUUCUUAGGGUAUGUUUGGUGCAUUGUAUUAUGGGGUAUUAAAAUAUUGUUUACAUUAAAUUAAUACUAGUGCUAUGUUUGGAAGAGCAUGGGAAUGGGUUAAAGGGGUUGUGCUAAUGCAGCAGUUGCCACAAUAGCUAAACUCAAUUGUGAGUCGGGUUUAGUUAAUGAGACAGUUGCCACAUUAGCUUGCUUUUUUUCCUUUUUUUUGCUUUUGCUUUAUAAUAAUAA
rnacentral:lncRNA from 1 species